AGGCGGUCCCCUCGCAACGAUAGAUAGCGAACCCGGCCAGGCCCGGAAGGGAGCAACCGUAGUUAUCAAAUCGUGUGCCGAGGUGUGGCUGUCUGGG
rfam:marine gamma proteobacterium HTCC2148 scf_1106774214166 genomic scaffold, whole genome shotgun sequence.